rnacentral:misc_RNA from 1 species
AACUAUCAAAGCACAACUGCUGUUUGUACACCGGGUGUGUUUUGGACUUUGGGAAUCUGCUGGCUUUGUCUAGCUUUCCUUAAAAGCAUUCAUUAGCUUGAAGAUAUAUGAUGCAUCAGUGUGAUAAAUUGUCUCUGCACUGGCACUGUCUCUCUCUGCUUCUAUGACAUCUCAUGAUC